CCCUCGAUGCGCGCGCCCACGAUAACUUAUUCUCGGCCGUGUACUUCCGUCGCUCGCUCCUCUUGCUGACCAGCAGCUUUGUCGCCGCGCAUUGGCUGCUCGACCAAGAUUGUGUCAGCUCCUCCCACUUGGCCUCGGGCCGAUGAAAAACGCCCGAUUAUCU
rnacentral:misc_RNA from 1 species